CACAAGUUCAAGCCCAGCUUGAGAUAUUCGACAAGACUCUAUCUCAAAAUAAAAAAGGGCUAAGGUGGGUAGUUCAGUGGGAGAGUGCCCCUGGAAUUAAUCCUCAGUACCAAAAAAUAAAAUAAUUUUUUAAAAAGGCAAAGCGAUUAAAUAGACUUUCUCAAAAGAAAAUAUACAAAUGGUCUAUAAAAAUGAAAAAAUAUUUAGCAUCAUUAGUUAUUUGAGAAUUCAGAUCAAUUCACAUCCACUCUGGUAGAUGUAUUCAAAAAGAUGGACAAGAACAGUUGUUAUUAAAAAUAAGUAAAAAUAUGAAGUCUGUUACAUUGCUGAUCAUAUUAGAAAAUGGGCAGCCACUGUAAGAUAGUCUGGAAGUUCCCUAAAAAGUAAAACAAAGUAACCAUCUGACCCUCUCAUUCCUAGGGGUAUACCAGGAGAAUUGAAAACAUCUAUCUACACAAAACUUUAUACACAAAUAUUCAUAGCAGCUAUACUCAUGAUAGCCAAAAUUUUAAAACAAAUGUCCAUCAGUUGUGAGGAAUGGAUAAACAAAAUAUGGUAUACAUUCAUACAAUGGAAUUUUAUUCAGCUAUAAAAACAAGUGAAGUACUAAUAUAGGCUACAUCAUGAUUGAACCUUGAAAACAUUAUGCUAAGUGAAAGAAACCAGACACAAAAGGACACAUAUUGUUUGAUUUCAUUUAUAUGGAGUAGGGAACUCCAUAGAGCCUGCAAAUAGAUAGUGGUUUCCAGGAUAUAGGGAUUGAGAGAUAUAGGAUUGAGAGAGAUUACUGAAAGGUAGGGGGUUUCUUGGUGGAGUGAUAAAAAUAUUCUCAAAUUAGAAAAUAGUGCUUGUUGCAUAACUCUGAAUAUACCAAAAGCACUGAAUUGUAUGCUUUAAAAGGGUGAAUUUUGUGAUAUGUGAAUUGUAUCUCAGUAAAACUAUUAUUUAAAAGAAAAUGUAGCUAGACACAGUGAUACAUACCUGUAAUCCCACCUACAUAGGAGACAAGGUAGAAGAUGGUGACUUUGAGGCAGCCUGGGAAAUAUAGCAAAACCUGUCUCAAAAUAAAAUCAAAAGGGCUGGGGCCAGGCAUGAUGGUGCACACUUGUAAUCCCAGCUACUUGAAAGACAGAGGCAGGAGGAUCACAAGUUGAAAGCCAGCCUUGGUAAUUUGUCUCAAAAAAAAAAGAGGAUUGGGGAUGUAGCUCACUGGUAAAGAGCUGAUCCCCAGUAUCACCCCCCAAAACAAAACAAAAAAAAUAAAAAACAAUGGGGAGAUUGGGAAUGGGAAUGUAGCUUAGUGAGAGAGCACUUGCCUAGCAUGGGCAAGACCCUGGAUUCCCCAGUAACACAAGGGGGAAAAGUGCAGUGUAUCAUUAAAUGGAUCACUUCAUAUUGAAAAAUAAAAUUACUCUAGAGGGUUUUUGUUAAGUUGGCUCCUCUAUAGUAUUUGCAGUUAUUUUUUAAAUGAACUGUCAGAAGGCUGGAAUUUGUAGAGUUGUUUUGCUAGCCAGAAGAACAUGACUUUGAGUUACACAAAGUUUAAUCAAAGCUAAAUAUAAGGCAGAAUUUCUUAGAAUAGCCAAGUCAAGCUUAUUUCCAUGUUUUUGUAGAAAGUUUUGCUUCAUGAGUUAUACUUUUAAGUACUCUUUGGAUGAUAAAAAUCCUCCUCCUCCUCCUCCUCAUCUUUCUCUCUGUCUCUCUCUCAACACUACUGGGGAUUGAACCCAGGCUUUGCACAUGUUAGACAAAUGCUCUACCACUGAGCCAACCCUUUUUAUUGUAUUUUGAGACAGAGUUUUGCUAAAUUGCCCAGGCUGUGGUCAAACUUAUGAUCCUCCUGCAUCCUGCCUCAAUCUCCCAAGUAACUUGAACUACAGGCAAUGAACUACCACACCUAGCUUCUCUCUCUUUUUCUAAUGCAUCCUGUUCAGUUAUUAUUAUUGAUAAAUAAUAAGAUGUUGCUUAUUU
rnacentral:lncRNA from 1 species